UACGUAGGCAGCAAGCGUUGUUCGGAGUUACUGGGCGUAAAGGGUGUGUAGGCGGUUCUUUAAGUUUGGUGUGAAAUCUCCCGGCUCAACUGGGAGGUGCGCCGAAUACUGAGGGACUAGAGUACGGGAGAGGAAAGUGGAAUUCCUGGUGUAGCGGUGAAAUGCGUAGAUAUCAGGAGGAACACCGGUGGUGUAGACGGCUUUCUGGACCGUAACUGACGCUGAGACACGAAAGCGUGGGUAGUAAACAGG
rnacentral:rRNA from 1 species